ensembl:lncRNA
AUACGGCGAACUGAGACGACGUGAAAAAGGGGAUUGGAAGCGGCAUUGAUGUGAGUACUAAGAACCAGUCGAAAGUGCCCUGUAUAUUGACCUGGCGUUGUGUAGAUCUCUCCAGGAGGAGGAGGGCGGCCCUACCCCUAAUAUAGCGUGGUGGGAGAGCCGAAGGAAUACUUAUUGAAGUAGUCACAACGACGACAUCACUAGCUAGGCCGCAUAUUCCAUCGCCAGAUCCGAACCAAGCGAAGUGAAGGAAGACGGGUGUCCUUUUCGUACACUGAGUGUGGUGGAUAAACCCCCGCCUUCACGCACUUCGUCGCGGGAGGACAAGGAGACUGCUGGUCCUAGCCUAGUUCAGUACAGUAUAUGUUGUGAGCGUGCUUCAGAUCUCCGGAGAUAGCACGGUACGCUGUGUCCAGCCCAGAGGUGAAAGCCAUCCAAAGCAGAGUAACUGUGCUUUGUGUCCAAGUUGAUACCUGUGGAGAGGAAAGGAAAGAGAGAUUGAUACCUGUGGAGAGAAAAGGAGAGAGAGUGGGUAACACGAGGAGAGACCGAGGAAACCUGUACUUACGCCGCUGCCUGUGGAGAAAGAGAAAGCGAGUGAGCACCCAAGGAACGAACUGUGUGAACCAGUACUUACUGUGAGCUGCAAUCAGCGAAGAGGUGAGAGCAAAACCAAGCCGAAUUAACUGUGCUUUUGUGUCCCAGCCGUUGCCUGUGGAGGAAGAGAAAGAGUGAGCACCUCGAGAACGAACUGUGUGAACCAGUACUUACCGUGAGCUGUAUUCAGCGAAGAGGAGGAAGAAGGAGGGCGCUACGGAUACCUAAGACUCAGGCCGGGGCCCGAGUCCCACGCCCCGGAUCCCCGUGGCCCCCUUGCUCCCUGACCUCUUCCCGGCCAUAGCCCAUCUGGAGGGCCGAGUCAGAGUUUAGUUUUAAUUGCCCUUUCCCUAUUCCCCAAG